CUGCGAGUUCGCGGGAG
rnacentral:rRNA from 1 species